CUCUUUCUUCAUAGUGGCACUGCUCUUUAACGGGACCCCUCUGAUCCGUGCACAUGCGUCCAUGAUGUUGCAGUGCUGGACAGGAGCGCGUCUCACCUUGUAGUGACAGAGCCGUGCAGAGGGAAGCUAGCUGCUCUGACGUCCGUUCAUUUCAUGAAAACAAGUCAAGCAGGCGAAAGUAAUCGAAACCAGAGCGACGGCUGGGAUAAGUUGAGCGCAGAGACAAUGAUGGGAGAAUGAGCGUCAUAUUCUUGCGUUCCAAUUUGUUUAAAUAGUAAAAGAAAAACUCAAUGAUAGUGCUUUCAUGACUUUCACAAAUAAACAAUAAUAAUAAAUAAAUAAAUAAAUAAUGGUUCAGAUUA